rnacentral:rRNA from 1 species
CCCCUAGUAACUGCGAGUGAAGCGGGAAAAGCUCAAAUUUAAAAUCUGGCGGUCUUUGGCCGUCCGAGUUGUAGUCUGGAGAAGUGCUUUCCGCGCUGGACCGUGUACAAGUCUCUUGGAACAGAGCGUCGUAGAGGGUGAGAAUCCCGUCUUUGACACGGACUACCAGUGCUUUGUGAUGCGCUCUCAAAGAGUCGAGUUGUUUGGGAAUGCAGCUCAAAAUGGGUGGUAAAUUCCAUCUAAAGCUAAAUAUUGGCGAGAGACCGAUAGCGAACAAGUACCGUGAGGGAAAGAUGAAAAGCACUUUGGAAAGAGAGUUAAACAGUACGUGAAAUUGCUGAAAGGGAAACGCUUGAAGUCAGUCGCGUUCGCCAGGACUCACCCUUGCUUUAGCUUGGUGCAUUUUCUGGUUGACGGGCCAGCAUCGAUUUUGGUUGUCGGAUAAAGGCAGGGGGAAUGUGGCAUCUUCGGAUGUGUUAUAGCCCUCAGUCACAUACGACAGCUGGGAUCGAGGACCGCAGCACGCCUUUAUGGCCGGGGUUCGCCCACGUUCGUGCUUAGGAUGCUGGCAUAAUGGCUUUAAACGACCCGUCUUGAAACACGGACCAAGGAGUCUAACAUGCCUGCGAGUGUUUGGGUGGAAAACCCGAGCGCGUAAUGAAAGUGAAAGUUGAGAUCCCUGUCGCGGGGAGCAUCGACGCCCGGACCUGACCUUCUGUGAUGGAUCUGCGGUAGAGCAUGUAUGUUGGGACCCGAAAGAUGGUGAACUAUGCCUGAAUAGGGUGAAGCCAGAGGAAACUCUGGUGGAGGCUCGUAGCGAUUCUGACGUGCAAAUCGAUCGUCAAAUUUGGGUAUAGGGGCGAAAGAC